rnacentral:rRNA from 1 species
GUGAGGAAUUUUGCGCAAUGGCCGCAAGGCUGACGCAGCAACGCCGCGUGGGUGAUGAAGGCCUUCGGGUCGUAAAGCCCUGUCAGGUGGGAAGAAAGGCUUGGAGAAGCAACGCUUUGAGUUUGACGGUACCACCAGAGGAAGCACCGGCUAACUCCGUGCCAGCAGCCGCGGUAAUACGGAGGGUGCGAGCGUUAUUCGGAAUUACUGGGCGUAAAGCGCGUGUAGGCGGGGAUGCAAGUCUGGUGUGAAAGCCCUGGGCUUAACCUGGGAAGUGGAUUGGAAACUGCAUUUCUUGAGUACUGGAGAGGAAGGGGGAAUUCCCGGUGUAGAGGUGAAAUUCGUAGAGAUCGGGAGGAAUACCAGUGGCGUAGGCGCCCUUCUGGACGGUAACUGACGCUGAGACGCGAAAGCGUGGGGAGCAAACAGGAUUAGAAACCCCUGUAGUCC